rnacentral:lncRNA from 1 species
UUUUUUUUUUUUUUUGGCCUGUGCCCACAGCAUGUGGUAGUUCCCAAGCCAGGGACUGAACCCAUGCCACAGCAGUAACCAGAGCCACAGCAGUGACAACACCAGGUCCUUAACCAGCUCAGCCACCAGGAACUCCAAGAAUAAGCACUUUUAUAAUUAUGUAUUUGUGCAUGCAUACAUGUGCAAAAAAAAAUUGGAAGAACAUAUGUUAAAAUGUAAAUGGAAUUUGAAUGAUGGUGUUACAAAUGAUUUUUAUUUCUUACAAUUUCUUUUUUCUUUUUCUUUUUUUUGUCUUUUUUGCCAUUUCUUGGGCCGCUUCCGCGGCAUAUGGAGGUUCCCAGGGCAGCCAAAAAAAGAAAAAAAAAAAAAAGGGAGAUGAGCCCUCCAGCUGUCUUUAUUAAUUAUAAGAUACUAAUAAUGUAAAGCUAAGUUUCCAAAAGUGCCAAAAGACCAGAUCAGUAUUUAUUUAUCAGACAAUUGGUUAACACUGGCAAAGCGAACUUUAGAAGAAUAUUACCCUUGAGGGUGAACACUGGUUUGCAAAAACUAAAAUCUAUGUGAAAGACAAAAAUUCAAACAAACAAACAAAAACAAAAAACAAAACAAAACAAAAAAAAAACACCAACCAAACAAAAAAAACCCUCACUGGAAAAACAAGAGUGGUGUAACUGUAAAAAAUGAAUCUUAACCUGAGGAGACAUUGGGGUUUGAAACUUGCCUGGAGGCAGAGUGAUAAAUGCACAAAUAGAAACAAAUACAUCUCAUCAGUUGGCAACCUGAGUUUGCAGUUUGUGUUGUCUAAGACACUAUGUAUUCUUAUCCUUGUUGGUCUUUUAAGAUUCCUCCAUCCCCAGGAGGGUCUCAAAAUAUUACCCUUGGGUCCCCAGAGGAUAUUAAAAUUAGUAUUUAGAGAUAUAGGAGAGUGUAGGAGUACAGGCUCUGGCAGACUGCCUGAAAUCAAAGUCCAGCACUGCCUCUUCCUAUCUGUGGGACUCUAAGCAAAAUUUUUAACCUCUCAGUUUGCCCAUCUAUAACACUAAUGAAAUAAUGAAAGUAUGUAUUUCAUACGGUUAUUGAAAUGCUUAAACAGGGUAAUACAUGUGAGGCAUUUAGAAUAAUAUGCUAAGUAAGUGUUAGCAUUAGCUAAAAAGUCAUGUUAUAAUCCCAGGAAAGUAGAAAUAGUGAAAAAAUAAUUACACUGUGUUGUCCCUGUUUUAGGGUAGGUUUAAGUGUAAGUUUAGCCAUGAUACUGGGAUCAAAAUAUUUGUAUAUGUUGUCUAAAGCAUUAGAGCUUUUUGCACAAAUCACCUGAACUACAGCUGAAAUUGUAGUUGAAUCUGCUCUAUGUUUAAAUGCUUAAAGACAUUUUAAAAAGUUUAUUAGAUUAUGACUUUAAUACAUUGAGCAUUAAACAAAUUACACAUGGAGGUGAGCAGCAACACUCCCUAGCCGUUAAACAGCCAGCCAAUAAUCCCAAGGCGCUCAUCGCCCACGGGCUCUCUGCCAGGCUGACUUCAUCCCCCACUAGGUUUAGACUCCACCAGCAGUCACUCCAGUAAGCUCUCCAGGGUACUCAAGACUCUUCAAAUUCACAGAGAAUCACUGGCAGCAAAGGGUCAUCUCCACUUCUGUUUUCUCUCCCCCUAUUCCUGGAUCUCAGAGAAUUUCUGGAGAAAGUGCUCUUCCAAUUCUUAUUCUAUAUCUUCAAGUGCUUACCUGGAAGGCUUUUUACUAUCUCCAUCUUAGCUACACAGCUAUUCCAAACCUCCAGGCUGCCAUUCAAUUUCAGCAGAACUCUUUUACGACACUGACGCUUUGCAAGCAUGAGUUCCAGGACUGUGUAGUAGAAAGCAUCCCCAGGCCUGGAUUAUUGACAGUUAAGCCUCUAGCAAGUUACUUAAGCUAACAGUUGACACUCUCCUCUCCCCCACUGUUUAGUACCUACUUCAUAGAGCAGUUAUAAAUAGUAAAUGAGACAAUGAAUGUAAAGCAUAUAUCUUACAGUCUGUUCAAUAAAUGAAAGCCCCUUUCUUUCUUCUUUUUUA